rnacentral:rRNA from 1 species
UCUAUACUAUGUGAAUCAUCGAAUCUUUGAACGCAAAUGGCGUUCGUCGGGCAUCCGGCGAGUACGUCUGCUUGAGUCUCAGUAUUCCCUAAACUCAUGGACUCUCUUCUUUUGAGAGGGGGGUGUCCGUGGCUAUGAGGGUUUGUCACAGAAUUUCGGUUCUGCGUCCCUUCAAGUUGAGUAGAACGCGCGCGUUUUGUUUUUUCCCCUCCAACCUUGCAAAUCGCGAGGGCGGCUUUUGAGGAAAAUUGAAUCCAAACAACGGGCAUGGCGUGGUAAGUUCUUGAUGAACCCCAAUCAGCGCUUUGCCUUGGCAUUCUCUCUACCUCUCGAGCCGAAGGAGGAAAAAGGAGCAACUCGCGAGUGUGCGUCAAAAAAAUAUAGAAACCUUUGAGCUCAAGUCAGUCGGGACGACCCGCUGAAUUUAAGCAUAUCAAUAAGCGGAGG